rnacentral:rRNA from 1 species
CCUACGGGAGGCAGCAGUGGGGGAUAUUGCACAAUGGGGGAAACCCUGAUGCAGCGACGCCGCGUGUGGGAAGACGGUCCUCUGGAUUGUAAACCACUGUCCCCAGGGACGAAGAUGACGGUACCUGGGGAGGAAGCUCCGGCCAACUACGUGCCAGCAGCCGCGGUAAUACGUAGGGAGCGAGCGUUGUCCGUAAGUACUGGGUGUAAAGGGAGCGUAGGCGGGGAUGCAAGUUGGGUGUCAAAACUACCGGCUCAACUGGUAGUCGAAGUCAAAACUGCAGCUCUUGAGUGAAGUAGAGGCAGGCGGAAUUCGUAGUGUAGCGGUGAAAUGCGUAGAUAUUAGGAGGAACACCAGUGGCGAAGGCGGCCUGCUGGGCUUUUACUGACGCUGAGGCUCGAAAGUGUGGGGAGCAAACAGGAUUAGAUACCCUUGUAGUC